rnacentral:rRNA from 1 species
UUUCCGUAGGUGAACCUGCGGAAGGAUCAUUAUCGAAACCCCAAAGUCCAGGGGGCUUAUUGAGGGAGGCAGAGGAUCUCCGCGAAUUCAAGGAGGGCAGGACUCCGCUGGGAGGACGGCAACGGCCCCUUAGCCGUCCUCGCGUAAGGUUGGGCUAACGUAUCCAGUCGAGCCCUGUGCAGAACGCGUCGGAAGAAUGCUGUCCGGUGAGUGAAGCCAAUCACGACCCGGGCCGGCCUGUGCAGAGGCAAGCAGCUAUCCGGCGUGUGAAGCCGAUAACGACUCGGUCGGACCUGUGCAGUCUUGUAAGGCCCUUCGGCUCGCGUCCGCCUCUAUGGGCAGGACUCCGCUGGGAGGACGGCAACGGCCCCUUAGCCGUCCUCGCGUAAGGUUGGGCUAACGUAUCCAGUCGAGCCCUGUGCAGAACGCGUCGGAAGAAUGCUGUCCGGUGAGUGAAGCCAAUCACGACCCGGGCCGGCCUGUGCAGAGGCAAGCAGCUAUUCGGCGUGUGAAGCCGAUAACGACUCGGUCGGACCUGUGCAGUCUUGUAAGGCCCUUUGGCUUGUGGCCGCCGUCGUGGGCGACGACCUUCUCUCUUGAACUCGGAAAACAGGACGCCCUCCCAUUCAUGGAGGAGGGGCCGUCUAAGACCCGCUUGGCUUGACCUGUUGCACCGUCUACAGCCAUCUUCCGAGUGUGUGCAAUGGGAGAGAACGGAACCCACGAUUGGGGAAUUCGAGAUGCCCUCCCAUUUAUUGGGGCGUGGGGAGGUUUGUGUACUCCCAGACCAGCUCCGAGUCGUGCCGCCGUCUACUACCACAGACCGUCGUCUGAGACCGCUGGCCGACCCCGUCGAGCACGUCACAAGUCAUCCUCGAAUUCACAUCCGUCCGUCUAUGACGGGCGCGGCCCACCGCGGACGUGAGAGUUCGUUAACACGGAUGUGAGCGUUCGUUAACACGGGCGUGAGCGUCCGUUACGGUACCGUCUUUCUCGAUAGACAAAGCCCUUUGGCACCCCCCUUCACAGACCACACCCGUGCACCUAUUGCCGCGGUGCAAGGCCCAUGUCGGCGCGUCUGACGGGCGCUUAGGCCUCCUUGGCCGGAAGCGUUUCGAAGGUCGUUCCGCGUGUGAAGCCCUCUGCCCGCGGCGCCCUUACAAACCCCAUAAUGUCAGAACGUUGUCCCGAUAACAAUAAAAGAGUUUAAUAACAACUUUCAGCGAACGGAUCUCUUGGCUCUCGCAUCGAUGAAGAACGCAGCGAAAUGCGAUAAGUAAUGUGAAUUGCAGAAUCCAGUGAAUCAUCGAACCUUUGAACGCACCUUGCGCCCCUCGGUAUUCCGAGGAGCAUGCCUGUUUGAGCGUCGCGGAACCCUCAACUCCGUCCGCCUUUGUUGGGGCGGGCUUGGAGAUUGGAAUUGGAGGCCCUUUGCCGCGCCUUUCCCUUCUACGAUCCGUAGACGGGGGGCGGCCGCGCGGCUCCUCCCAAACGCAUUAGCCCGGACCGGAUUGAAAAGGGAACCAUCGGACCGGCGUCGAUAGGGGCGUUCGCGCCCACGUCAACGCCGUUGAACGGGAACCCUAGAAAUCGUUAAGGUCGGCUUCUAAAAGGCGCGUCUCGUCGGGGGCGGGGUCGAUGGACGCAGAUUAGAGCGGAUCGAAAAAGUACCUCAGAGUGAGGAGUUUGUAGGUUCCACCCCGAUAGCCGUUAUAGACGGAAUGCCACGGUGGGCGGGGACCGCUCCGAAAGGAAGAGGGAAAAUAAAAGAUCGCGACUCCAGUUUGCGUCCCUCCUCCCUCCGCCGUCUCGAGGCGUUAGAAACCCUUGACCUCAGAUCAGGCAGGAUUACCCGCAACUUAA